GACGAACGCUGGCGGCGUGCUUAACACAUGCAAGUCGAACGGGCUGCCUGGUGUUCGGAUCGGGUGGUGAGUGGCGAACGGGUGAGUAACACGUGAGUAACCUGCCCCUCUCUUUGGGAUAACGUCGGGAAAUCGGCGCUAAUACCGGGUAUUCUGGCUUCCUCGCAUGGGGUUGUUGGGAAAGGUUUGUUCUGGUGGGGGAUGGGCUCGCGGCCUAUCAGCUUGUUGGUGGGGUGAUGGCCUACCAAGGCGGUGACGGGUAGCCGGCCUGAGAGGGUGUCCGGCCACACUGGGACUGAGACACGGCCCAGACUCCUACGGGGGGCAGCAGUGGGGAAUAUUGCACAAUGGGCGGAAGCCUGAUGCAGCGACGCCGCGUGGGGGAUGACGGCCUUCGGGUUGUAAACCUCUUUCAGUGCAGAACAAGGCUCUUUGUGGGUUGAGGGUAUGCGCAGAAGAAGCGCCGGCUAACUACGUG
rnacentral:rRNA from 1 species